UGGGGAAUUUUGGACAAUGGGGGCAACCCUGAUCCAGCCAUGCCGCGUGUGUGAAGAAGGCCUUCGGGUUGUAAAGCACUUUUGGCGGGAACGAAACGGUCUGUGCUAAUACCACGGACUAAUGACGGUACCCGCAGAAUAAGCACCGGCUAACUACGUGCCAGCAGCCGCGGUAAUACGUAGGGUGCAAGCGUUAAUCGGAAUUACUGGGCGUAAAGCGUGCGCAGGCGGUUUCGCAAGUCAGAUGUGAAAUCCCCGGGCUCAACCUGGGAACUGCAUUUGAAACUACGAGGCUUGAGUGUGGCAGAGGGGGGUGGAAUUCCACGUGUAGCAGUGAAAUGCGUAGAGAUGUGGAGGAACACCGAUGGCGAAGGCAGCCCCCUGGGCUAACACUGACGCUCAUGCACGAAAGCGUGGGGAGCAAACA
rnacentral:rRNA from 1 species